rnacentral:rRNA from 1 species
CCUACGGGAGGCAGCAGUGGGGAAUAUUGCACAAUGGGGGAAACCCUGAUGCAGCGACGCCGCGUGAAGGAAGAAGUAUUUCGGUAUGUAAACUUCUAUCAGCAGGGAAGAAAAUGACGGUACCUGACUAAGAAGCCCCGGCUAACUACGGGCCAGCAGCCGCGGGAAUACGUGGGGGGCAAGCGUUAUCCGGAGUUACUGGGGGUAAAGGGAGCGUAGGCGGUUCAGCAAGUCAGAAGUGAAAGCCCGGGGCUCAACGCCGGGACUGCUUUUGAAACGGUGGAACUCGAUUGCAGGGGCGGUAGGUGGAUGUCCUGGUGUCGCGGUGAAAUGCGUAGAUAUUAGGAGGAACCCCAGUGGCGACGGCGGCUUACUGGACUGUAGGUGACGCUGAGGCUCGAAAGCGUGGGGAGCAAACAGGAUUAGAUACCCGAGUAGUC